rnacentral:lncRNA from 1 species
CACAUACCUCUGCUUCUUUUCAUUAACCUGUUAUCCUCUUUACAAAUGGUAUUCUUCACCCACUCCCUUCUUCCAGAUUAGCAAUGCCCUGUUAAGUAAACGAACAUGAAAUUCAAAGGGAAACAGGAACAAUAAUCAUUACCAGCUGCCGUGUUAAGCAUUGUGAAAACGCUCACGAUUCACAGAAAAAUCCAUGCUGUUCUUUGAAGGCAUUCAAGCCUUAAUAGCUAGCUGGAUGAAUGUUUAACUUCUAGGCCAGGCACUACUCUGUCCCAACAAUAAGCCCUGUACAUUGGGAAAGGUGCCGAAGACAUGAACUUUGGUCUUCUCUGCAAUCCCUCUGGAGCAUUCAGUGACAACGUCGACUUUGAAGUUGCACUGACCUGGCCAGCCCUGCCACUUACCAGGUUGGGGUUUGCCCUCAGGGGAAGCUAUCUAACCAGAGCCUAACCCACUAGGGUUUUAUCAGAACCUAACUGGCCUGAGGAAAAGAAAUAUUCAACUCCAGCAAGCUCCAGCCUUCCAAACGGAGGAGGAGAAAACCCAAAUCCAGCCCACUUCAGCUAUCUUGUCCCACAUAAAGGGGGAGUGGAAGAAACGUGAGAAGCAGGCAUGAAGUUCACAGUCCGGAGGUACAGACACAUCAGAGUUCAGUAUCUGAUGAAUUAGAUGCAAAAUCCUCAACAAAGUAUUAGCAAAUUGAAUUCAACAAUGUAUGAAAAUUAUUACAUGCCAUGACUAAUUGGAAUUUAUCUCAGGUAUACAAGCCAUGCUGAACAUCUGAAAAUCAAUUCAUGUGAUCCAUCACAUUAGCAGAUUCAAGAAAAAAAAAACCACAUUAUCAUAUCAGUAGAUGUAGAAAAAAAAAAUUAACAAAAUCCAGCACGCAUUCACAAUGAAAAUGCUCAGUAAAUUAGAAAUAGAAGGUAACUUCCUCAACUUGACAAGGAAUAUCUCUAAAAACCUACAACUAAAAUCAUACUUAAUGGUAAAAAACUAGAAGCCUUCCCAGUAAGAGUAAGAACAAGGCAAAGAUGUAUGCUCUCACCACUCCUUUUCAACAUCAUAUUGGAAGUCCUAGCUAGUGCAAUAAGCAAAAAAAAAAAAAAAA